rnacentral:rRNA from 1 species
AGACAGCAGCAGCCACGGGAAUACGAAGGGUGCAAGCGUUAAUCGGAAUUACUGGGCGUAAAGCGUGCGUAGGCGGUCUGUUAAGUCUGUUGUGAAAUCCCCGGGCUCAACCUGGGAACUGCAGUGGAAACUGGACGACUAGAGUGUGGUAGAGGGUAGCGGAAUUCCUGGUGUAGCAGUGAAAUGCGUAGAGAUCAGGAGGAACAUCCAUGGCGAAGGCAGCUACCUGGACCAACGCUGACACUGAGGCACGAAAGCGUGGGGAGCAAACAGGAUUAGAUACCCGUGUAGUCCCUGUCUCUUAUAC